AUUAGUAUGCAUCGCAAAAAGUAUUACUUUUAAGAUAAAUUCUGUUCUAAAUUUAAGGCUAACGGUCUUUCAUAUAAUUCAAAAUAAGAUUUUGAAUUUUACAAAAAUCGCAGACCUAGAAUACUUUCGACGGUUGAUAGGCAUGCGCUUUAAAGGUACCUUAUUCUGAAUUAUACGAACGACCGCUAGCCAAUAUCUUAUUUAGAAUUUUGGAACAGAACCCUCCGAAUUGUACUAAAGCGAGCUUCGCUCUACAAAUUUUUGUAAUACUCUUUAGAUUAAAAUGAGUGAAGAUAAUUCUUCUCUAAAUUUUGAGCAUUUAUUAGAUGCACAGCAAAUCGAUGCACAACCAAACACUGCUGAAGCUUUAAAUCCGGCUACUGCGACAGAAAAUAAGUACAUAUUGGCCACAUAUGCAAAUGCAAGAAUAAUAGAGCAAAAUGUUUCACAGAGUGCAUUAUUUUGUAACUUUCAAUUUAGAAAUGGAAAAAAUGUUGAAGGUUUGCAAUGUUAAA